rnacentral:rRNA from 1 species
UACGUAGGGACCAAGCGUUGUUCGGAUUUACUGGGCGUAAAGGGCUCGUAGGCGGCCAACUAAGUCAGACGUGAAAUCCCUCGGCUUAACCGGGGAACUGCGUCUGAUACUGGAUGGCUUGAGAUUGGGAGAGGGAUGCGGAAUUCCAGGUGUAGCGGUGAAAUGCGUAGAUAUCUGGAGGAACACCGGUGGCGAAGGCGGCAUCCUGGACCGGCAUUGACGCUGAGGCGCGAAAGCCAGGGGAGCAAACGGG